UGCGCAGGCGGGGCAAUAAGUCAGUGGUGAAAUCCUGCGGCUUAACCGUAGAACUGCCAUUGAUACUGUUGCCCUUGAGUAUAGUUGAGGUGGGCGGAAUAUGUAAUGUAGCGGUGAAAUGCAUAGAUAUUACAUAGAACACCAAUUGCGAAGGCAGCUCACUAAGCUAUCACUAACGCUGAGGCACGAAAGCGUGGGGAGCGAACAGGAUUAGAUACCCUGGUAGUCC
rnacentral:rRNA from 1 species